AUGAACGCUGACAGAAUGCUUAACACCUGCCAGUCUCCUUGAACUUCGGUUUGGGUGGCGGACGGGUGAGUAACGCGUAAAGAACUUGCCUCACAGUUAGGGACAACAUUUGGAAACGAAUGCUAAUACCUGAUAUUAUGAUUUUAGGGCAUCCUAAAAUUAUGAAAGCUAUAUGCGCUGUGAGAGAGCUUUGCGUCCCAUUAGCUAGUUGGAGAGGUAACGGCUCACCAAGGCGAUGAUGGGUAGCCGGCCUGAGAGGGUGAACGGCCACAAGGGGACUGAGACACGGCCCUUACUCCUACGGGAGGCAGCAGUGGGGAAUAUUGGACAAUGGACCAAAAGUCUGAUCCAGCAAUUCUGUGUGCACGAUGACGUUUUUCGGAAUGUAAAGUGCUUUCAGUUGGGAAGAAAAAAAUGACGGUACCAACAGAAGAAGUGACGGCUAAAUACGUG
rnacentral:rRNA from 1 species